CUUCGUCCCCCGGCUGCGUCCUCCUCAGGCCCCCUGCGCCCCCGGCUCCGUCCUCAGGCUCCCUGCGCCCCCGGCUCCGUCCUCUUUAGUCCUCCUCCUCCCCCGGCUCCGUCCUCCUCAGGCCUCCUCCUCCCCCGGCUCCGUCCUCCUCAGGCCUCCUCCUCCCCCGGCUCCGUCCUCCUCAGGCCCCCUGCGCCCCCGCCUCUGUCCUCUUCAGUCCUCCUCCUCCCCCGGCUGCGUCCUCCUCAGGCCUCCUCCUCCCCCGGCUCUGUGCUCCUCAGGCCCCCUGCGCCCCCGGCUGCGUCCUCCUCAGGCCCCCUCCGCCCCCGGCCCCGCCCCCACGGCGGCAUGCGGGACAACACCAGCCCCAUCAGCGUGAUUCUGGUGAGCUCGGGGAGCAGGGGCAAUAAGCUGCUGUUCAGGUACCCCUUCCAGAGAAGCCAGGAGCACCCGGCAUCCCAGACAAAUAAGCCACGUAGCAGAUAUGCUGUUAACAACACGGGCGACCAUGCUGAUGACCAGGAUGGCGAUGCCAGCGAGCCAUGUCCUCCAACCGAUGAGCAAUUGGUUGCAGGGUUUUCAGAUGUUAUUCUGGCAACAAUUUUGGCAACCAAGUCUGAAAUGUGUGGCCAAAAAUUUGAACUGAAGAUUGAUAAUGUGCGGUUUGUUGGGCACCCAACACUGCUACAGCAUGCUCUGGGGCAGGUCUCCAAAACAGAUCCUUCCCCGAAGAGGGAAGCACCUACUAUGAUUCUUUUUAAUGUGGUGUUUGCACUGAGGGCCAAUGCAGACCCGUCAGUGAUAAACUGUCUGCAUAACCUGUCCCGUCGCAUUGCCACUGUGCUGCAGCACGAGGAGCGCCGCUGCCAGUACCUCACCCGGGAGGCCAAGCUGAUCCUGGCGCUCCAGGAUGAGGUGUCCGCCAUGGCUGAUGGAAAUGAAGGUCCUCAGUCCCCAUUCCAUCACAUCCUGCCCAAGUGCAAGCUGGCCAGGGACCUCAAGGAAGCUUACGACAGCCUGUGCACGUCGGGUGUGGUUCGGCUUCACAUCAACAGCUGGCUGGAGGUGAGCUUCUGCCUGCCCCACAAGAUCCACUAUGCGGCCUCUAGCCUGAUCCCCCCAGAGGCCAUCGAACGGAGCCUGAAAGCCAUCCGCCCCUACCACGCCCUGCUGCUGCUCAGUGAUGAGAAGUCCUUGCUGGGUGAACUUCCUAUCGACUGCUCCCCUGCCCUAGUGCGGGUGAUCAAGACCACAUCUGCUGUGAAGAACCUGCAGCAGCUAGCUCAGGAUGCGGACCUGGCCUUGCUGCAGGUUUUCCAGCUUGCAGCUCAUCUGGUGUACUGGGGCAAGGCCAUCAUCAUCUACCCGCUGUGUGAGAACAACGUCUACAUGCUGUCUCCCAAUGCCAGCGUAUGUCUGUACUCCCCGCUAGCCGAGCAGUUCUCCCAUCAGUUCCCAUCUCAUGACCUGCCGUCCGUCCUUGCCAAGUUCUCCUUGCCGGUCUCCUUAUCAGAAUUUAGGAAUCCCCUGGCCCCCGCUGUGCAGGAGACCCAGCUUAUCCAGAUGGUGGUGUGGAUGCUACAGCGCCGGCUUCUCAUCCAGCUGCACACCUAUGUCUGCUUGAUGGCCUCACCCAGCGAGGAGGAGCCCCGCCCGCGAGAGGACGACGUCCCCUUCACUGCCCGGGUCGGCGGUCGCAGCCUCAGCACGCCCAACGCCCUCAGCUUUGGCUCCCCAACCAGCAGUGAUGACAUGACCCUCACCAGCCCCAGCAUGGACAACUCCAGCGCAGAGCUGCUUCCCAGCGGGGACUCACCACUGAACCAGAGGAUGACGGAAAACCUGCUGGCCAGCCUGUCAGAGCAUGAACGCGCAGCCAUCCUCAGUGUACCCGCAGCCCAGAACCCUGAGGACCUCCGCAUGUUUGCCAGGCUCCUUCACUACUUCCGAGGCCGCCACCACCUGGAGGAGAUUAUGUACAACGAGAACACUCGGCGCUCCCAGCUGCUCAUGCUGUUUGACAAGUUCCGCAGCGUGCUGGUGGUGACCACCCACGAGGACCCCGUGAUUGCCGUCUUCCAGGCUCUGCUUCCCUGAGCCCAGGCAGAGGGCGGAAGGCUGCUGGGGUGUGCAGGUUUGGAAAGGUCCCUUGGAUUCCCGGCUGGGGACAAUGAUGACCUGGACCCUGGCCAGAGGAGCCCUAGCCCUCCAGCAAGGCAGCUCCCUGGAGACACCUGCUGUGACUCACCUGUGCACCCCUGGCCCUCCCAGCCACCUGGGAGUCAGAGGCUUAGCCCAGAGGUGGCCAAGCCAGUCCCCACUCUUGGGCUGUGGCCAUGUGAGCCUCUGCAUCAGCAGCCAGGGGCGAGCACUAGCGGACGAGGCCAUGCCCUCCAGCAAAGCCAGCAAGUGCGGCAUUCCUCUCAGCAGAUACCCUUGACCAGCCAGUUGUCAAAGUAUUUCAAGCUAAAAUCAAGGCCAAGCAAAGCCUUUAAGUUCCCGUCCAUUCUGUGGUUCCCACGCUGCUUCCAGCUCACCAGGUGGGGCACCCGCUGCCCACCCUGACCCACCUCAGUAGGAAGGAGCGGGACCCUCUACAUCCCUGCCAGAGGCAUCAGCUGGACAGCCAGACCACCUUCACCUCAGCCCAUGAAGCCCUGCGGUGCCAGAGGCCAUGGCAGAGCCCAGAUCCUGGACCUACAGUGAGCUGCAGGGGCCCUGGGAAGCCAGCACUGCACUGAGAGCCACUACAGUGGGAACGGGCAGCCGAACACUGGCCACAGCCACAGUUCCCAUGUGUGGAAAAACUGUGAGGUGGAUUCCAGAUGAUCUCAGGCAACUGAGAGGAGCUAUCCAGGGACCAGUGUGAGCAAAGCAGCUAACUGCACGAGGACAAGGAGGACUAACCGAGGGCCAAGCCCAGCAGGCAGCGGACAGGGCUUCAGGGACAACUGCAGUGACAGGCACUUUAGGAGAGACCACGUUGCUAUGUUCACAUUACCUGUCCCAGAAAUGCCCGGGCCAGGGGGACUGCUGGCUGGUCGAAAAACUCCAACCCCAGUCGGGUAAGGUGGCCCUUCGGGCUUGAGAAAUAGAUGCUGCGGUAUGGGCCCAGGGUGGUGGGUGGUCCCAAACAGGGCUCCUUGGGGCAAGGUGCCUGGGCUGUGUCAGACGGGCUGUGUGGCUGCUCUGCUUUGGCUAGUCGCUGCUUUUUUUGCCCCAUCCUUCGGGAAAACUGUAAUGGGAAAAAUAAAUAAAUAAGCAUCCGAAUAGAA